rnacentral:rRNA from 1 species
CUGAGAGGAUGACCAGCCACACUGGAACUGAGACACGGUCCAGACUCCUACGGGAGGCAGCAGUGGGGAAUAUUGCACAAUGGGCGCAAGCCUGAUGCAGCCAUGCCGCGUGUAUGAAGAAGGCCUUCGGGUUGUAAAGUACUUUCAGCGGGGAGGAAGGGAGUAAAGUUAAUACCUUUGCUCAUUGACGUUACCCGCAGAAGAAGCACCGGCUAACUCCGUGCCAGCAGCCGCGGUAAUACGGAGGGUGCAAGCGUUAAUCGGAAUUACUGGGCGUAAAGCGCACGCAGGCGGUUUGU